GACCAGGACCCACGGUUAGAAACCUUGAGAAUUCAGCCUUCCAUAGGUGCAGCGUGCAUACAAGGAGCUUAAACUGUGAUGAAUUGACGAUGGAUCAAGCAUCGGCUAUUAAGUAAUUGUUCUCGGUGGUAUUCAUCGGCGGUGGUCGCCGGAAUUUGGCGAGAAUCCCAGCUGCGCACCGGAACUUUAGGGAAAGAAAACCUGCUGCCGCACCUGUUUUCG